GAUGAACGCUAGCUACAGGCUUAACACAUGCAAGUCGAGGGGCAUCGGGAAAGUAGCUUGCUACUUUUGCCGGCGACCGGCGGAUGGGUGAGUAACGCGUACCCAACCUGCCCCCUUCCCGGGCACAGCCCUUGGAAACGAGGAUUAACGCCCGAUGGCGUCGGAUUGCCGCAUGGUUUUCCGACCAAAUGCGAAGGAAGGGGAUGGGGAUGCGUGACAUUAGAUAGUAGGCGGGGUAACGGCCCACCUAGUCUACGAUGUCUAGGGGUUCUGAGAGGAAGGUCCCCCANACUGGAACUGAGACACGGUCCAGACUCCUACGGGAGGCAGCAGUGAGGAAUAUUGGUCAAUGGUCGGAAGACUGAACCAGCCAAGUAGCGUGAAGGAUGAAGGUUUUAUGGAUUGUAAACUUCUUUUAUACGGGAAUAAAACCUCCACGUGUGGAGCUUGUAUGUACCGUAUGAAUAAGCAUCGGCUAACUCCGUG
rnacentral:rRNA from 1 species